UGUUGGCCCCUUGGGGUGUUGAUUGCUUCCUGGGUAACAGGGACAACAUGAGGAGAACUGCUGGUCACAAAGGCACUGCGCCCAACUGCCCCAUCCCAGCUGUUUACUGAAGGGUAAACAUAGCCUAAUACUCAAGCCUGUCUAACAAGCUCAGGAAACAGGACUCUGGCACCCGAAAGGAGCAUCUUCUGAGUCAAUGAAACUCCCGACUGUCAGGCUGUCCUAGUUCUGACGGCCUUGGUCUCUUAUGUGCCCUGAUGGAGCUGUGAAGACUGCCUGGUGGACUAGGGGAGGGAGUCACCCUGGUAGGCUGCCUCACCUCUCUGAAGGUUCUUCAGGUGCAGGCCAUGG